UCUCACCUGAAAACACCGUUAUUUUUAAAAAAUUCUAUAAUGAAGACAUACAGCAGAAUAUGAAUUUGGUAAUUUACUCUAUAAGAUAGAAGAACGUGAAGAGAUUCACAAUCUAUUAGGAGAUGCAGAAUAUUUUCAACAAUAUAUAACUGAAAAUGCCAUGUCCAUAGAAGUCUCUUUAUUAGACAAUGAAAAGGAAGGGGAGAAACCAAGUGAACAAUUUUCGUGGACACCGCGGACAACCAAGCUGUUGCUGUCUGCCUACAAUGACAAAAAGGCAGACAAAAAACUUUAGAUAUUGUUUACUUUAAAUAAAUAGUAGCAGUAAAAAAAACGAAAAAAAUAAUAACUGGCUAUUACACCCUAAAGUUAUAUGCUUCUGUUCAUGAAAAAUAAGUUACUAACAUCGGCAAAAAAA
rnacentral:lncRNA from 1 species